rnacentral:rRNA from 1 species
UACGGAGGGGGCUAGCGUUGUUCGGAAUUACUGGGCGUAAAGCGCGCGUAGGCGGAUCUGCAAGUCGGGGGUGAAAUCCCGAGGCUCAACCUCGGAACUGCCUUCGAUACUGCGGGUCUCGAGUCCGGGAGAGGUGAGUGGAAUUCCUAGUGUAGAGGUGAAAUUCGUAGAUAUUCGGAGGAACACCAGUGGCGAAGGCGGCUCACUGGUCCGGUACUGACGCUGAGGUGCGAAAGCGUGGGGAGCAAACAGG